UAUGUUAGCUAACAGCGCAUGUAUUCCCCUGGUGGGGCUGUUCUCCACCGAGGCUGUAAUUAGGACAUUUCAUCCACAGCCUUUUCAACACAGCUGUCUGAUUGGUGGAAAAGGCCCAGCGUAAUUACAGAGGCCCUGGGCCUCCGAUGCUGUCGGGCGAGGAGAGGAGGGACCCUAAACAAAUCACAAACAAGAAUUCAAUUAGCAGAUCAACAGCCUCACACGUGGACGUCCGCGUUCGACGAGCCACUUAAGACAGUUCCUGCUUCUGGUCUGAGCUCGGGGAAGUUUUCUUUCUCUCACCGCAGGUAGACCUUUCGGAGGGAGGGCUGCGCUAGUUUGCCAGCUCUCUCAUAAGCUCAUUGGAUUUGCUCCUGUGCCAAUGUCUUACUUAAUUAGCCUGCACAUCUUUACGGGCAUAAAUCGCUUUUACAUCACUGCCAACGGAGCGCACCGCAAACGCUAAUCUCUCCCCAGGGGUCUCAGCAUCAGCUCUCUCUUUCUUUCUCGUCGCUGCCCCCAGAUCGGAUGAGUAAAGGGACGUGGGGGAUUGAGCCGAGCCAGGAGGGCACCCACACAUCUCUCAUCACCCCACCACCCCUCCUGACGCGCAAACCUGCCUCCUACCUUCCCCGCUCAGGCCUCGACUCGGGGGGUUUGUGAUGAAGAUGACACAUUUGAUCUGCCUCUCCCCCUUUUUUUGCUUUGAUAACUUCCCACACUCCUCACCUUCGUCGUCACCAUUGCCACGAGUUAACAAACUUUAACAGCCAGACUAAUCGGUAGUGUGAAAGGUGGUACUCGUAAUGACUGUGCAGCUCCCCUCAGCUCAACAUUUUGUUGUCUUUCAGCUUAGACUGAAGCAUGUUAGGUUAAGUGUGAACGUGAGUGUCUCUCUGAUAGAUUGGCAAUCUAUUCAGGGCAUUCACAUUGACUUAGCAGUGUUCUAGCAUGCUUAUCUUCACUGGUUAACUUUUAGCUUAGCAUUAUCUUUUACAUUAGGGCUUAAUCUAUACCUCUACUAUUAGCAAUUAACCCAUGCAAGCAAAUGUUCCCUUAUUUCCAUUGUGAAAAAAUGUUAAGCGAAGAAGCAAAUAUGAUAUUAAAAUGCAUUUUAAUAUCAUAAUCAAAAAGGAAAGUUUUAGCAGCAGACU